GGGCAUCUAAAAUUGCAGCUUUCUUGUGUGGCGAUUAGUCUAUAUCAUCCUUAUUUGUUUACAAAGCCAUGCAAUUUAGUUAUCUAUUUAUCUGUUACAAUCAAUUGGCUCAUUUACCAAUCUUCUCAUGGCGCUUUAUUCAAUCAUGUGUGCGUGCGUGUGCGCGUGCGCGCAUGUGUGUGUGUAGGAUGUUAAUCGGUACCUUGGUUUUGAGUUUCAAAGUUGAAGCGAUUAUUAUGCCCAAUCCCAAAUGAACAUUAUUGUUUCUCUGAACUUGAUCUUCUCAAAUGGACACGUCAGGUCAUCUCUCCUUACUAAAGGGUUUACGAAAAUCUCUGCCUUAUAGGGCCGGUUCAUAUUGGCAUGGAGGAGGCACAGAGGUUUAUUUGGCUGGCCUUGAGGGGGAGACCAAAGCAAAACUUCAACAUGUUCAAGUUACGGAGAUCCAUGAGUUUCAUAGAACAUAUAAACGCUGGUGGGCAACCCGCCGUGCUGGGGACCUUCGCGCGCGCACGAUCACUGGCCGUUCGAUUAGCUUCUUCGAUCGUUUUUCACCCUCAAUUUUUACUAUUCACUUCUAUCUUUUGUUACAACUUUGACUGCUUUACCGGGUGGCUGCCAUUGGGUCCAUAAAAUCAUUGGUCCACGCAGCAGCGGAGUGCUCAUCAACUCGGUCUGUGACAAGCAGCAGCAGCAGCAUCAUGGUUGGGUUGGAGCUACAUCGGCCAGCCACCAGGACGACGCUGAUAGCCAAAGAAAGCUCAUUCCCCACCGCUGACAGCCAAAACCGCUCUUGUGCUCAUCAAGGUUAAUCAAUGUAUAGGACUGCACUUUUGUGUGUCCUUUCCUUCAAGCUGUCAUUCAAUAGAAGAGAGGAGCGAGGCCUCGAUCCAAACUCAGGAGGAGACGAGGAGCAACACCUAUUUUUAUUGUCCGUCAAGCGCUAUUAUACUUUGCGGUUCCAGCCACCUGAUCACUAACCUGAAUGAGUAAGUAGACCAUUUUAUAUGAUGGUCUUGCUUCCUUUUGUGAUCAUGUAUCUAUGUUAGAUCCGGUGAAAAAAGGCGGCUUCCAAGCAGAGGAUGCGGCAGUGUUGGCCACGUUUGGUUUUCAUAAGCUAAUAAUGUAUCCCUUCCUAUCUACUUCCUACGUGUACCACAUUGUAACUAAGCAUCUAUGUACCAGUAGUAAAGACUUGAGUGUCUGAAUAUUCUCACAAUAGUUGUCUCCCUCUC